GUUCUAGUAAAGCCCUCAGAGACCCUCUCCUUCACCUGUGCUGUCUCUGGAUUUCCAAUCAUAACCAGUACUUCCUCCUGGAGCUGUAUCUGCCAGCCCCCAGGGAAGAAGCUGAAGUGGGUCAGGUGUGUAGGUCACGAGGAAACACACAGUGCAACCCGCUUCUCAAGAGUCCAGUCACCACCUCCAGAUCCACAUUCAGAAAACAGUUUUUCCUACAGCUGAGCUACCCGCACAAUGAGUAAACCACCAUGGAUUUUUAUACAAAAGA